rnacentral:rRNA from 1 species
UAAGACGGAGGGCGCAAGCGUUGUUCGGAAUUACUGGGCGUAGAGGGCGGGCAGGCGGUCCGUUAAGUCUUCUGUGAAAAUCCGGGGCUCAACCCCGUGAAAUGCAGGAGAUACUGGCGGACUAGAGACCGGUAGAGGCUAGCGGAAUUCCUGGUGUAGCGGUGGAAUGCGUAGAUAUCAGGAAGAACACCUGUGGCGAAGGCGGCUAGCUGGGCCGGAUCUGACGCUCAUCCGCGAAAGCGUGGGGAGCAAACAGGAUUAGGUACCCUGGUAGUCCACGCCGUAAACGAUGGGCACUAGGUACUGGGUCUAUAGACGGAUUCAGUGCCGCAGCUAACGCAUUAAGUGCCCCGCCUGGGGAGUACGGUCGCAAGGCUG